UACGUAGGUGGCAAGCGUUGUCCGGAUUUACUGGGCGUAAAGAGCGCGCAGGCGGCCGAGUAAGUCGAAUGUGAAGGCCCCCGGCUCAACUGGGGAAGGUCAUUCGAUACUGUUCGGCUUGAAGAUAGGAGAGGGAAGCGGAAUUUCAGGUGUAGUGGUGAAAUGCGUAGAUAUCUGAAGGAACACCAGUGGCGAAGGCGGCUUUCUGGCCUAUUCUUGACGCUGAGGCGCGAAAGCUAGGGGAGCGAACGGG
rnacentral:rRNA from 1 species